rnacentral:rRNA from 1 species
AACGAACGCUGGCGGCAGGCUUAACACAUGCAAGUCGAGCGCCCCGAGAGGGGAGCGGCAGACGGGUGAGUAACGCGUGGGAAUGUGCCCUUUGGUCUGGAAUAACUCAGGGAAACUUGAGCUAAUACCGGAUAAGCCCUUCGGGGGAAAGAUUUAUUGCCAUUGGAGCAGCCCGCGUCAGAUUAGCUAGUUGGUGAGGUAAAAGCUCACCAAGGCGAUGAUCUGUAGCUGGUCUGAGAGGACGACCAGCCACACUGGGACCGAGACACGGCCCAGACUCCUACGGGAGGCAGCAGUGGGGAAUAUUGGACAAUGGGGGCAACCCUGAUCCAGCCAUGCCGCGUGAGUGAUGAAGGCCUUAGGGUUGUAAAGCUCUUUUACUCGGGAAGAUAAUGACUGUACCGAGAGAAUAAGCCCCGGCUAACUUCGUGCCAGCCGCCGCGGUAA